rnacentral:rRNA from 1 species
GAUCCUGGCUCAGGAUGAACGCUGGCGGCAUGCCUAAUACAUGCAAGUCGAACGAGAGGAAGGAAAGCUUGCUUUUCUGAAUCUAGUGGCGAACGGGUGAGUAACACGUAGGUAACCUGCCCAUGUGCCCGGGAUAACUUCUGGAAACGGAUGCUAAAACCGGAUAGGUAGCAGACAAGCAUUUGACUGCUAUUAAAGUGGCUUUGGCCAUGAACAUGGAUGGACCUGCGGUGCA